CUCCCUCACCUGCUGGGGCUGGAGACGCUC
rnacentral:sRNA from 1 species